rnacentral:lncRNA from 1 species
AAACACAUUGAAGAACUGAGUACUUCUCUUAGGAGUAGGCCGAGCUGUGCUUCAGAAGAACCAUCAGUGCCGUCACAUGAGCAAACCAGGCAAAGCACUGCUGCCAGUCCAGCCCAAAGAAAGAAAGCAUUACAUGCAGAUCAAAGAAACUCAAGUCUGCUGCAAUUCCUGAGCCGUGGUGUGAAAUUUAGGGAAGAAAGCCCAGAGGAAGGAGUGUCUCCAGAGGAAAAGAGUUUUUCUGUCAAAAAGGGUGUGAAAUGUUCAACCAUUUUCAAAGGCAAGUUGACAGAACAAGAAGCUCUGACUGGGGAAGAUGAUCUGAAAAUGCAGAGUGUGAAAGGGGCAUCUGAAAGCUCUCUAGAUGUCCCUUCAGCUCUUUGGUUAAAGACCCAUGGCUUGGCUGCUAGGCGACUCACCAUCAUGGAUGCCUUAGCUCCUACAACUGUCCUUCACAGUACAAAAUAUAUCCCAG